UAGAUGCGAGAGUAGAGCAUAUCAAUAAGCGGAGGAAAAGAAACUAACAAGGAUUCCCUUAGUAACGGCGAGUGAAGCGGGAAGAGCUCAAAUUUGAAAUCUUCAAGGUUCUACCUUGACGAAUUGUAGUUUAUAGAAGUGUUUUCUGUUAGUGGAGUGGCAAAAGUUCUUUGGAAUAGGACAUCAUAGAGGGUGAGAAUCCCGUAUUUGGUCAUUCCUCCUAGCGUUGUGAUACACUUUCAACGAGUCGGAUUGUUUGGGAAUGCAGUCCAAAAUGGGUGGUAAAUUUCAUCUAAAGCUAAAUAUUGGCGAGAGACCGAUAGCGAGCAAGUACCGUGAGGGAAAGAUGAAAAGAACUUUGAAAAGAGAGUUAAACAGUACGUGAAAUUGUCAAAAGGGAAGCGUUUGACACCAGUGUUGUUUUUCCGAAAAUCAAUUACGAAUGUUUUAUUUUUGAGAAGUUAUGACUUCAUCGGCUUGCUUCUCUCUUUAUGAAACUUUCUUAAUGCACUUUUCGGUUAACAAGUCAACAUCAAUUUCCUUUGCUGUAAAAGGGUAUGAGGAAGGUGGCUUUCAUUUCGGUUAGAAAGUGUUUAUAGCCUUGUAUCUCUGCAAUCGGAGAGAUUGAGGUCUGCAGCGUAGAUCCUUCGGGGCUAGAUACAUUUGUGCUAAGUUAUAGCUUUUCAUAGACAACUUGUUGACUAUGUUUAGUCAUGUAGCUUACUCGUAAGUGCUAUUUUACCUACGCUUAGGAUGUUGACACACGCGCGUGCUCG
rnacentral:rRNA from 1 species